ACCCCACAUACCUUCCAAGUAUCCAGGAUGCAUAAUGUUACCAAGAAUACUGAGAUCCCAACCUCCCCACUACCACAACCACCAGCAUUGCUCUGUGCGAAAUCUCUUUUUUGGAUGUCUACAUUGUCGUUUUAAAAAUACUGUCAGGUUUAUCAAAGUUAACAAUCUAAUGACAUUUUAAGUGAAAUUUCAAAUUUAAGGCCAAAAUAUCCAAAAUUCAAAGAAUUCUCUGAAAAAGAAAAACAAAAUAUACUAAUACACAAUCGAGAGGAUUGCAGACCUAUUUGCGCCCUUAGUGAAACAAUUAUGUAAUCUCUGCAAAUUAAUGGAACUGCAGUUUGGGCGGAGACCCACUGAAAAUGUAUUAUGGGCUAUGGCUCGCCCAGCUCACGGUCUUCCUGGUGGUUCCUUUUCUAAUGAAAAAUACAGAGUAAGAGCGACAAGUGUAGACAUGUUCACACAAGGUAUUGAUGAUCAAGAGCCCUUGAGCGUUUGUCUGCAUUCUGUAAUGAUAAAUUGCUUGCAACAACACAUAUGGACACUAUAGGAUUACUGAUGUUUGUUGCCACAUCGCAACAGUUACUGUAGAAAUAAUUACAUAUCAUGCUUAAAAAUACUGUUCAGCAAGACAAGUUGAACAUAAUCAACUAAUAAGACAUAUUAGUUGAUGACAUAUUUAUAUAACAUUGUUUGACAAACUCGGUCAGCUAUUGUGCUAGUGUAUUGUUUAUGUAGUAUUUUUAUAUAGCACCUUAACAAUAUUCCUAUAACCAGCUUAAAAUAAAUAAGAUUUUUUAUGAUAAAAGAUGGCUGUUGAAGCUCCUAUCUGGCUAUUUGAUUCUACAAAUAUUUGUCAGAUUUAUGCCAGUAAUUUUUUUAAUUAAUGCUGUUGUAACUUUUCUUGUAUAUGAAUGUUGAAGUAAAAUGUUUUCUAUGUCAUUUUCAAA